rnacentral:tRNA from 3 species
GGGCGCGUGGUGGAACGGUAGACACGCUGGCUUCAGGAGCCAGUCUUCGUAAGGAGGUGAGAGUUCAAAUCUCUCCGCGCCCA